rnacentral:rRNA from 1 species
AUCAACUUUCGAUUGGUAGGAUAGAGGCCUACCAUGGUGGUAACGGGUAACGGGGUGUUAGGGCACGACACCGGAGAGGGAGCCUGAGAAACGGCUACCACAUCCAAGGAUGGCAGCAGGCGCGCAAAUUACCCAAUCCCGACACGGGGAGGUAGUGACAAUAAAUAACAAUACGGGGUUCUUUCGGAUCUCGUAAUUGGAAUGAGUACAAUUUAAAUCUCUUAACGAGGAACAAUUGGAGGGCAAGUCUGGUGCCAGCAGCCGCGGUAAUUCCAGCUCCAAUAGCGUAUAUUAAAGUUGUUGCAGUUAAAAAGCUCGUAGUUGAAUUUCGGGGUUAGUAGGCUGGUCAUGCCACCGGUAUGUACUGGUCUUACUGAUUCCUCCUUCCUGAUGAACUGUAAUGCCAUUAAUUUGGUGUUGCAGGGAAUCUGGACUGUUACUUUGAAAAAAUUAGAGUGUUUAAAGCAGGCUAACGCUUGAAUACAUUAGCAUGGAAUAAUGAAAUAGGACGUUCGAUCCUAUUUUGUUGGUUUCUAGGAUUGACGUAAUGAUUAAUAGGGAUAGUUGGGGGCAUUAGUAUUCAAUUGUCAGAGGUGAAAUUCUUGGAUUUAUUGAAGACUAACUACUGCGAAAGCAUUUGCCAAGGAUGUUUUCAUUAAUCAAGAACGAAAGUUAGGGGAUCGAAGACGAUCAGAUACCGUCGUAGUCUUAACCAUAAACUAUGCCGACUAGGGAUCGGAUGAUGUUAAUUUUUUAAUGACUCAUUCGGCGUCUUACGGGAAACCAAAGUGUUUGGGUUC